UACGGGGGGAGCAAGCGUUGUUCGGAUUUACUGGGCGUAAAGGGCGCGUAGGCGGUCAGCACAAGUCAGUUGUGAAAUCUCCGGGCUUAACUCGGAAAGGUCAACUGAUACUGUGCGACUAGAGUGCGGAAGGGGCAACUGGAAUUCUCGGUGUAGCGGUGAAAUGCGUAGAUAUCGAGAGGAACACCUGCGGCGAAGGCGGGUUGCUGGGCUGACACUGACGCUGAGGCGCGAAAGCCAGGGGAGCAAACGGG
rnacentral:rRNA from 1 species